AGGAUGAGGGAGAACCUGUGUCAUCCUGUGAAAAGCCGAUUCCCCACUGGAUUCAGAGCUGUGCAACCAGGGAUACAGGUACUUCACAAAAGAUUCACUGAGGACCUGUUCUAUCAUUGUUCUAGGAUUCCUUUUCAAGGUUCAGCUCUCUGAAGAGAUUGCUGGCUACCCAGGCUGGUCUCCUGUUGCAGUUCCCAUUCUUCCAUUGCAUUAGAUCUCGAACUCUAUAAUUUCAAGGCCACUGUCACCCAAGUCAACUUCCACCUGCACAUUCUCAACCAGUUCCUCUGUUUGUAAACAGCAAGUCAAGAAGAGCUUCCUCCUUAUUUGGCUUCUCUGUAUCAAAAAAAUUAUUCGCAACACACUCUAAGAAUUUGCUGGGCUGCUUGAACAUGGGUUUGUUAUCCUCCUAGAAGAUGUCCUGAUAAUUAAAGUCCUUGAUGAGAACCAGGUCCCAUGAGUUGGAAACUUCCAUCAGUUUUUUUAAAAAGUCUUCAUCUACCCCUUCCACCAUGA